GCAGUGGUGGUUCAAUUGUAGAAUUCUCGCCUUCCACGCAGGACACCCGGGUUCGGUUCCCAGCCAGUGCA
rnacentral:tRNA from 1 species